rnacentral:rRNA from 1 species
UCAGGCCUAACACAUGCAAGUCGAACGGUAACAGGGAAAAGCUUGCUUUUCCGCUGACGAGUGGCGCACGGGUGCGUAACGCGUAUACAAUCUACCUUUUACAGGGGGAUAGCCUUUAGAAAUGAAGAUUAAUAUCCCAUAGUAUAAUUUAUUGGCAUCAUUAGAUUAUUAAAGUUUCGGCGGUAAAAGAUGAGUAUGCGUUCUAUUAGCUAGUAGGUGUGGUAACGGCACACCUAGGCAACGAUAGAUAGGGGCCCUGAGAGGGGGAUCCCCCACACUGGUACUGAGACACGGACCAGACUCCUACGGGAGGCAGCAGUGAGGAAUAUUGGACAAUGGAGGCAACUCUGAUCCAGCCAUGCCGCGUGCAGGAAGACUGCCCUAUGGGUUGUAAACUGCUUUUAUACAGGAAGAAACCUUUCCACGUGUGGAGAGCGUA